GAAAAAACAGAAAAACAAUAAAUACAAAAAAAUGAAACGUCUUGUACCUAUCGUGCUUCGCUGAAUCUCUCUCUACGAGAUCUUCCUUUGCAUCGAUUGCUUCUCGAUGCAGGUCUCUCUCAAUUUCUUACCAGCUAUCCUUUUCUUCACACAAAGAAAUCGCACAACAAUUCCUUAUCUAGACCAGACUCAAUUGAUUGCAAAACUCAAUCAAACCUCGGAACGAAUCGGUACGGAGUAGUCAGAGAGAGCGAAAUACGAAACAUAUGAUCUAUCGUGAACGUUUUAAGGACUGGUGCUGUGAAUACUGCUAUCGGAUCUGCAUCGCAGAGUUUGGAAUCCAAGCCCUGCAAUCAAGCGCAAGACAAAAGAAAAUGGAAACUAUGUCGAUUUAGAUGUAAAAAAUUAAUGUUUUACGACUAUCAUCGAUGGUAAAUUAGAAGAGGAGCUCCCAAAAGGGCUAAUUCUUGUUAUGCAGCGGGGGAACUUUAGACUGCACAUAUGACUAUAUUUUAUGGUUGGCAAGUGUUUGUGUUUAGUGAUUUUCCUGUGGACAAAGCUAAAGAAGUCAUUCUCUUAGCAUGCAAGGGAAAUGGACAGAGUUGCACAACAUUUUUUUCUUCUUUCGAGAGUGAUAUCACUACUAAACCGGUAGAAGUUUACAGUCUGAGUCCUCCUAAUGUUGCCCAUAAUUUUGGCAAUGAUUUAAAGCAAGUCUAAAUUCAAGCUCCCAGUCAGCAUAUAGUUAGUGGUAAAUGUUCUGCCAAUAGCAAGGAAACUUCCCUGCAAAGGUUUUUGGAGAAGAGAAAAUAUAGCCCUCCAACCUGCAGGGUAUAAUUCUUUAUGGCCAUUUUUGCUGGAUUACUGUGAGAUGCUCCAUACCAAACAAGCAACUCAAAGGCAGGUCUCUCAAAAUUACCAAUUGGAAACAAUUCCUGGCUUGGUUUGGUGGCUCCAUCACCACAGUGAUCUCCAGACUUUUGACAUUAAUAGGCCCCUUACUAUCCUCUUCAGUCACUGCAGCAAUUGAAAAGAAGCUAUUAAUAGUUAUUUUGAUCUCUUUUGUAGUUAUCAAAUUAUAUACCAUGUUAAGCCUUUCAAUUUUCUUCGACCAUCUAGCAUAUAAACUCUGUAUACAUCACUAAUUUGUACGUCUAAUGACAAUGAUGUAAUGAAUUGUCGUUACUAAAGGAGGGAUGACUAACUACUAUUGGGGGUUCUCAUUUCAUAUA